rnacentral:lncRNA from 1 species
CCAGCGGCCCAGACCCACAGGGUUCUGGAGCAUAUCUCGGCCCAAUUCUGGAGAUAAAUGUUCUCCCUGGGGUCUCUAGGAACCCUGAGUCAUGUGCUGUCUGUCAGGAGCAGGGUGUUAUUGGACCCACUGAGCCAUAAGCUGGGCGUGCAUGGCGGUCACUGUCCCCGGUGGAAAUGGUGAAUGUGUGUUUGGGUGCCGAAGGUGGGAGCAGGCGGCACGUGCAGGUGGCCCCUCCUCCGAGUGCCCUGCCCACCCCCCAUCUCUGCUGUCCUCUCCUCUCAACUGCAGCGGCCUCCUGUGCGGUGCACUGGGGCCAGUCAGAUGAAGAGGGACACUCAGCCCUAAGUGACAGACGGUCCAGCAGAUGUUCUGGCCCCUUCUGGACGCGUGCAAAAGCCACUUGGCAGCCCGCGGGGCUGAGGGCUCCCGACAAGGGGCCCUGAGUGGAGCAGCGCAGCAGGGGACACGUGAACCUCGUCCUGGUCCCCGGAGCUGGUCACUUUGACGGCAAUUGAGCCAGUCCACCCUCCAGGAGCUCCACAAGAUCUCAAACAGCAACUGGACUUGGAUGUCCAACAUCAUCUCCUUUAACCCUCACGUGGCGCAUCUCGCAGGCCAGGCCACAGGCCAGCACCUGCAGGGCCGACCCCUCACUGCCCCUCUGGCUCCCGGCUCAGGGGACUCAAGCGCCCCUGGGGAGGGGAGCUCCCA